CAAAUGUAGACUAAUGGUUAUGUAAAUGUCACUAAUUUUAGAUACAGAUCUGAAAGUGUGUUUCCUUUUAAGAUUUUAUUUUCUUCACUAUCAUGACUCAGUAUCACUUGCUAAUCUAAUUUUAUUAGCCCUGUUGUAUUUUACCAUUUAAAAUACACAUACCUUAUUCAAAUAGGUCUUCACAGAGUCAAGUUAAUACAUCAUAUAGAUGUUUUAAAAAGAGGAAAAAAGGCUUAUCUGCACUCAAGAGAUGUUUUGAUUUUAGCCUUCACAGAACUGCUACUGGUGCAGUUGCACAGGUACGGACAUGAUGUAGAUGAAUAUGAAUCCAAGUUGUUAUAAUUCAUUAGUUUGCAUUAUUUGACCAUAUUUCAUAAUUUCAGACUGGUAAAAUCACAUUCUCAUUUUCUACUACUGCUAUGAAUUAGAACUGACAAAAUUACUAAUAGCUAAAAUUUCUGAUUUAGUUCAGACCUGAGCAGUUCUCAAUAGCACAGCUAUGCAGAAUUAGAUAGCCUACAGCUUUUCAUAAAGAACAUAUGUGUGCACAUUUACCUACUACAUUUCUCUUAAGACACAUGACCAAAAUGGAGUUGACUACUUAGAAAAAAUAUCCUAUCUGGCUCAAAGCUGGAUAGCUUUCUCAUUGAGUUUAUUUAGGUAAGUUUCUCUAGGGAGUUUCUUUUCUUUCUUUCAACCUAUGUAACUGAUAAAUAUUAAAGAUCUGCACAUAUACUUCAGCCAUUUGAGAACUUAGAAUGCUUGGAAAGACCUUUAAGGUCUCUGCUUUUUUUCAUUAUGCUGCAGACUGGUGCUUGCAGCAGGCCCAUCCAUCCAGUUGCUCUUGUAGAUCUGGUAUUUUAAUGUACCCAGGAUUUUUCCCAGAGACUUCCAUGAGUAGAUAUGAAUCUAAAGAGCUGAUCAAAGACUUGAGAGCAUACAACAAAUAAGUCUAUUUGCCUGGCUUUGUCAAAGUCCAGUGGCCAAACUGUUUGUUCCUGACUACUUCAUUGUACUCGUGUUGGCCUUUGUGAGAAGAGUGAAGCAGCCUGUGCUUCCCUCUGGUUCACCAUGCAAACUCCUAUCACUGGCACAAGGGCAGGAAAUAGCAGGGAGCAGGAAGAAGCAGAAGGGCAAAGGUUGGAGUGCCUUGUUCGGUGGCCCUAGCAGCAUAGAAUAGUUCAGUGACAUGGUGAAAACACAGUUUGAGCAUUUGCAGAACCAGAGUUCAACUGAGGAGCCAAAGUUCCUGUCUGGAUAAGAAAACUACUUCAAGUGCUUAUGAAGGCCUACUCAAACGAUUCACUUCCUAAACCUUUGAAAAGGAUGUUACAUUUCUCACAUGGUUCUCAGGUGACUUAAUAUUAGCAGUUAGAUUUUCCAGAGGCUUGCCUGUAUGGGUGGUGCCAGAGACUGUGGCUGGAUCAAACUCACUUCAUGUUGCGGCUCUGGGGUCCAAAGGACUGUGCCUGAUGUAAAAAAGGAAGGUUCACUGUUUUCAGUUCAAGUGCUUAUUUUCUGCUAGGCUUAGAAACUGUAUGGGAAAAAGAUGCUUAAUUUACAUAAAAAGGCAAGAAAAGAUAGGCCUGCCUGAAAAUAAACUGAGACUAUUAGCUGUAUAUGAGUGAAGACAACUAGUUUUAGGAGCAUGUCUAAAAGUCAGGUGUUAAAAGGUUGGAGCUGAGAACAGAUACGGGAAGAUCUGAUGAACCGGUAAAUCAGAAUGAUUGAAAUAUGUUGGGCAGAGAUUUGGGGCUGGGUUUGUUUAUUGAAAUUGGAGAAGCAGCAGCCUGACAGAGGGGAUCUGGCUUGAGGCAAAGAGAACAAGUCAGGGAAAGAGGCUUGCACUCCUCAGAUGAUUGCAUACAUUCACUGGAGUGCUCUGCACUUCACAUCCAGAAAGGAAUACAGACUGUUAAGUAGUAGCUUUUGCUGUCAUAUGGGAAAUCCCUGUCAAUUUCAUCCCCUCCUUGUAUUCCACAGAGAAGAGGGCAAACCUAUUAGUACCCUCAGCUACUUCACAGAUUUUGGUCCUGAAAAGAAACCUCAAAGUAAGAGUAGUUGAGGUUGGAAGGGAGAUCUCUAGUUCAAACAGGGUAGUUUUUUUAAGGCUAUGUCCAGUCAAGUUUGAAUACAUUCAAGGACGGAGACUCUGCAACCUGUCCUAUUCAGCUAGAAUUUCAUGCACUUAAUUUCAUACCUGUGGCCUCUUGUCCUAUUUCUGGACAGAGAAGAGCCUGGCUAUGUCUUUUUUACUCUGCUGUACCCCCACCAGCAGGCAUUUAGAAACAUUGCUGAGAUCACACAAACACAAGCCCUUUCUUCUCCAGGCUGGAGUCUCAGCUCACUCAGCUUUCUUCGUGUGAAAGAUUCUUCAGUUCUCUCAUCGUCUUUGUGGAAGUAAAUAAAAUGCUUCAUCUAAUAAGGGGAAUUAGAAUUCAAAGGAGGAAAUGUUUUUUUUUUGGGGGGGGGGAAUAAAGCGCAAGCUAAUAACUAAAAAGAACAAAAAUAUCAGAAAAUGAAAUAUUAAGAAGUUAGAUAACUCCUGCUUUAAGAUUCUGCAAUCUUCAUUUGCCCCCUUGUGUCAGUAUACUAUGAAGCAACCUUUGUGAUCACACAUCACACAGAAUGUUUAAUCUAUUGAUAGGGUGAACCUGUGGUGCUGGGUUGGGGAGGGUGCUUGUGGGCCACAAGCAAGAAGCCUGAUGGUGCUGUAGAUGCUGCAGGCAUUAGUAAAAAAUUCUCUAGGCAAUGGAGCAAAUGGCUGCAAGUAGAGAAAACCAUGUCUUCAUGGUUAUGUCAAGUGAGAAUUCCUAAGAACUGACUUAUGUGUUAUGUGGAUGUCAUGUGUUUUUUUCUGCCUUUAUUCUUGUGUGAUGCUGGACAAGUAACCAGGCCAUUGUUUCUGUAGCGCGUGUAUUGUGCUUUACUUUAGAGGUGUCUGAUUUAAAACUCACAUCUGAAAGAAACACUGGUGGUUCACAUCGCUACCUGAGCUUCUUAGGAGUUGUCAUUUGAAUUAUAAUACUGUGUAAAGUUAUGUCUGCUGACAGUCUCCUGUCUUCUUAAAGAGAACUUCAGACUGUUGCAUACUCUAAUAGUUUCUACACCUCCGUGUCAUGUUUAAAGUAGGGGAAAUGGACACAAACCUUGAAGGGCUGGUAGCUACUUUUGUUUAGUAACUCUUCUACAGUAAUGCAUUGCCUUAUGCGAUUUUCUAUGGCAUUUAGUAAUUCUGAUUUCAGAGGAAGAGGUGAGUACUGUGCAUCUUUUAAAGACCAGAUCUGCAAUCAACUUUCCUUGUUACCAGCUCAGGCUGGGAAGCAGAGUUUCUGUGCUGUUUAUUCAUGUUCUAUUUCUGCAGUCCUGUGAGCUCCAAAAUACUCUGAUUUGUGUACUGUCUGGUCACGGAUUCAUUUUGCAAAUAUAACUCAUUAUUAAACACCUGUGUGUGCCAUUUUUUCUUGUCAUUUUUGUAAGUAACAUCGUCAACAUUGUGCAAAAUCUUCUGUAUAAUAAAGGUAACGUACGUGUUUGAACUUCAGCAUAUUUGACGAUGAAUUUACUGUGAAGAUUUUCAGAAAGAAUAAGCUUUUUAAUUGUAACCAUUUCUUAAUGUACAGUGGUAAGCACUGCAUCUCUAAAAAUAUGAAGUUACUUAUACCUAAGUAUUUAGGACUUCUGCCAUUUUCCUCAAAUUUCAAAGGCAGUUUUCUUGGUACUGCCUAUGGCAUACUUUGGUAAAUGAGAGUGGUCUGUACUAGAAAUUUGGAUACAGUGAUCUGAAAAUGUUUCAGCUUUUCCUUUAGUCAUGGUAUCUUAAGUUUGAGGAAAAUCUCUUCUAAUCAGGUAGCCACAUUAGCAGUAAUGGUUGAAUGUGAAGUGUUUAGAUUCCCUUUAUCUGCAUCGCAACCUAUUGUCACAGAAGUCACAAGAAAUGAUAGAAAUGUGCCCAAAGUGGUAGCUGCUAUUGUACCAGUUUGGCAGUAGCUGCAAUUCUUCAUAUAAAAAACAAACAAAACAUUUAAAAUGUAUUUGAAUGAAAACUUAUGUCUGAGGUAUAUGCAAAUCUCCUUUCUAAGGUGGCAGUUGUAAGUGUAUCACAAUAAAAUAUUUAACUAGAAAGAGAAAUAAGAAAAAAUGGAAAAAUACAAUGGCAUGAGUGACAUUGCUCAUCUUUCUGUGAGGGGGAUAAUAAUCAUCAGAGUACUUAUUUUUCACUCCAAAUAGUUUAUUUCUGUUAGAAGCUAUUUAAUGGCUGUCAGGUGCAACUCUUUUUUCCCCAUGUUUUAUUAACUUAAUAGCUCUGUAUUUUUAAUAAAUAAAAUUUCUUGUAUUGCUUCUGCCUCUUAAUGUAAAAUUUGAACUUUUAUGUUCAAAAGUUCUGAAAUUUCAUAUUAAUUAUAGCAGCAUUUAUCUAGUUUUUAUCUUCAGUCUAAAGUGUACAGUGCAUAGUAGGUGACGGCUUAGUUUCUCUUGAGAGAUAGGAAUAAUAUAUCCAUAGUGUUUUCUUCUGCUGUUUAUAGCCAUAGGAGUCAGACAUGGAUAGAAAGCUUCUCAUUUCCCUGUUUCUGCAGGGCAAUUGUGUGGCUUUAUUGCCCACAAAAGAACCUUCUGUUAGCAGGUUUUAUACUUUUAAGUGGUUUUAAAAGUAAAACAUUUUGGAAUCUCUCAAGAAAUACUCAAAGAAGCCUUAAGUAUUAUAAAACUUGAAGUAUAUAAGGCAUAAAUUAUAGCGUAGAAAGUCUGAAAUGUAUAAAUUUCUAAUGUUUUAUUGAAAUAAAGGCAAAGGAAGAGCUUCAGAGGUUAUAUUAUUUGACCAGCUAGAAUAGUCAACAAUAAUGUAAGACUAUGGUUCUACAGCCUCGUGAUUCUUGAGCUGGACAAGUUAGGGGAUGAGUUUUUGGGUUCCCUUACUAUUACCCUGGCUCUCUGUCUUUGGUUGUUUCACCAAAUGACUUUAGGUUAGUUUUUUGUAAGCUCAGCCAGCUGAAUGUGCUUGCUGUAAGCAACAGUGCCAGCACUGAGGAAAACACCCUUCAUUCCUGAGACUGGCAAUCCAUUUUUAAAGUCCAUUUACAUUGCUUAAAUCACUGUAAGGAAUAUUCAGGGCCUAGUUCUUCCUUUCUUGACACUACUACAUACAGACUUUGCCUAUCUGCUCUUUAAACCAAUAUCAAAGGGUCUAAAAACAUUUUGAUCUAUCUCUUUUCUUGUACAGAAGAUUUGUAUCAACAUAUGAAGCCAGCAUAAAAAUGCUCAAUAUAGAUAGAGCUUCUUAGCAUCUGGAAGCAGCUGUGAUAUGCUUUUCCUAUUAUCAAAACAGUGUGAGAGUCUCCCCCUUUUCCAACAAGCAAUAUCUUGUUGCAGACACAUCAAUAAAUACAUUAAAGCUAUAUUAUCCAUCUAUAAUGGAACUUCCAGAUCAAAAAUAUGAAAUUUUUAGUAGUAUGAGACAAAGAUGCACAAGAACUCAAAUGUUUUGGAGGUAUGAAAUGUGUUAAAUUACUUGUUCUUCAACCGGUUUUAGGAAAUGUGCAUGAAUGGUAGGUUGUACAGUCAGGAAAAGGAUUUCACUGCAGAUUUGAUAACAUCGUGUAGCCAGACAGCCCCCUGUUGGUUGUAUUGCUGUGGAGGUUCUAGAAAGGAAUUGUGCUUGAAUUCAGCUGUUCAUUGCACUCAGCAAGCAAUUUUUUUUUCAAUUCCAUAUCACAAAUAGAGAAAGUGGAGGGAGAAGAAAAAUGUGUGUGCUUAUAAAAACUGCCUUUGAAUCAAAUUUUAUCUCUUAUGUAUAGGAAAUGUAAAGCUCAGUUAAAUAGAGUGCCUGCACACAGUUUCUUAAUGCCUUUAUAGAAAUUUAUUUCUAAAUUGCUGUAGUAAAAAUGUAGAACAGUACUUUGUCCUUGUGAUAAAACUUAAGACUAGCAUGCUUUAAUAUCACAUUCACAGCCUGACUAAGGCAAAGUAUUUAAAUCAAUUUCUGUCAAGAAUGCAGGAGUUUAAAACACUGAAGUUUGUAAGCUGGCAGUGAACUAACUAGGUACAGCCUUAUUUAGUGACUGAGACUCUCUUGCAGGCACAUCUAUGAGAGCUUCUAUUUAACAAGGUACAGUUUUACCAAGAGUCUUGGGGGCGCUUUUUAAUCCCGUUUGCUUUGCUUAGGAUGUUUUUUGUAUGUGUUUCAAGUUGCUACCAAUGCAACUAGCAGCAUACUUGCAGUUUGUGUUUUCUCAUAUAUUGAGAAACUGAAGAAAUUAUUACUCAAAAUGAAGUUAAUGUUUCAUGCUGACAACUGCAGGACACUUAUUAGGCAUUUUUGGCAUUUUGACUUUUUUUUCCCCCCCAAAGAGUUUGUAAAGAGAACCUAAAAUCUCCCUUGUAAUGGUCACUGUAUAUCCCUGUAGUGAGGGAAUGCUGUAGGUGCUCUAUGAAAUAUAGUACUGGGUGACACAAGGAUUCUAGAGAGAACUGUCACAGAGGUACAGGAUUUUCUGCUCUAAGAUAAACAAUACAGAAGUUCUCUCUGCACCAGUUAUGGUCAAGGUUAUAAUGGCUCAUCUUCAUUUAAAGAAUUGGAUUUGUGGCUGAAAAUCCGUAACUGCAACAGUACUAGAGAAACUGAUGUGACAAUUAGUUUUCUACUACAGCACACAAGACUAGCAUGUUGCCAAGAAAGCCAGAGUGCUGGAAGACUUUUUUUCACUCUUGAAACACAUUAAAAAAAUCAGUGAUCACAUAUCUUGGAACAGCUGGCAGAAACAAGAGGGUAAGGCUACAUGCUCUGAUUGAAAUGGGGGAAUGGGAAAAAAUGGGGACAGAAAAAAGAACUGGUUUAAAAUUGUCACGACUUGCUAAAAUCCCUCAGAAGAGUUUUAAGAAACUAGCUGAAACAAUCUCAAGGCAAGGGUACUCUUCCACAGAACAGAAAACCUGGGUUUCAGAAACCUGAGGAGAUUCAAGUUCAUAUCUCCUGCUUCUGAAAAAAUACCCAGUGGAAGUUGCCCACAGAUGUUCCCCAUCUUUCCUGUUAAAUCAAGGAUAUGUGCAAAAAAGUCACAAAACUGUUUUGUUCUAAGGUUGUUGGCAGUGGUAACUAUUGCUGUUAGCAGAUGAAAGCAAGCUGCAGCUUGGAUUUCAAAGGGUAGUGGAAUUUGCUUUUAUUGGACUAACUGUGCAGUUCCUCGCAUGUUCCAUAUUCUUUUCCUAAGAUGUUUCCUGAAGUAAUGGUAAAGCCAGCAUACAAUAAAUGUAAGUACCCAUUAAAGCGCACUAAAGGAAUACCUUAUGUUUCCAGUAGAUGAACAUUGAGAUAAUGAAGUAUUUGUUAAUCGCAUCAGUCUUCUAUUAUGCCAAAUUCUGGAUUUUAUUGCUGAAGAGCGCAGCAGUAAAGGUGGCUUUAAGCUGCUUUAUUCUCCUGCAUUCUCUAAAUCUGCUGAAGAUGGAAAGCAGGGAGCAGCAUUAAAGAACUUCAUGGCUGUUCAGCAACCAGCAAGGGGACUCACCUUCCCUCCUGCAAUCUACCCUCUAACUACUUUCUUUCUGUGUUUGAAGCAGCUUUUUGAGUCUUUGGGUUUCAGAGGUUUUUUGUUUUAGUUUGAGUUUUCCUUACAGGGGAGUUUACAUUCCCCCCGAUAAGUUAGCAGCAUAGGUAAGAGCCUGUUCUAGGUUGAAGAAGAGUCACAUAACUUACCCUGUUCAGAAAAAUUAAACUAUUCUUCCUCUUCUGAGGAGUGGUUACUCCAUUCCCAAAUUAGAAUUGAACUUCCGGACUUCCUCAUGGCUCUUGGAGUAUCUUUAAUUUUUUGUUUAUUUAAGUAAUUCUAGUCACUUGGAACAUACAGAUAACUUAAAGAGCUUUUACAUUGUGAUCCCAUUAUUUAAUGCUUUUUCAGGCAUAAAUUAAGUAGUCUGAGAAAAGCACUACCUUUUGCUAUGAAUGUAUCUUAGGUUCCUCUAAAAUUGCAGGGGUUUUUUCUCUUUGGCUGUGAGCAAUUGUUCAGAGCAGUGGACAUUUUCAAUCAUAGCUGACAGAAUCCGAUUUUUAUCUCUAGUUUUUUUUUCAUGUGUACUGCAGGAUUAUUUUAAAAACAGCACCUGGUCCUGGUGAUUUAUGAUAUGAGUUUCUCAGGCUUUCAAUGGGCUCUUCUUUUGAGACAUCUAGGCCUGGGGACACUACUGUGAAUUCCUAUAAGGCACAUCCUUGAGAUAGGCAUUUCUCUGUCACCCUUUAUGUUAAAACCAAAUUAUUUAUAUUCAACUUCUUUACCUGUGACACUUUCUUCCAUCUGGCUGUGGAUAUUACAUAGACAAAACUAAAAAAUAUCCUCCUGAAUUCUAACACCUUUAUGAAUACUUGCAGUUCUUGUGUGUGUGUGUGUGUGUUGUGCAUUGAUACGGGGGUGCUUCAGGCAGCCAUCAGUAGCCAUGAAUACCAAGAGAGCAGAACAUUUUCCAGCAGUACCUGUGAAAGCAAUAACUGCAUUUCUUUGUGCAAGAGUAGUGUUAAACCAGCCCCUCAUUCUUCAGACUGCCAGUGGCUACAGAGAGCUUUUCAUUAGCCAGUGACAGUAGUAAUUUUAUUUUUCACUAAUCUUCAUUAGUUUUUUCUUACUUUACUUUCUUACUUGUUUAUAUUAAUGCUUCAAUAACUGUUAAGAUGUGGUUUAGUUAAGAAACUGUAGCAUCUCUGGUUUGUUGGGUUUGGGUUUCUUCCACUUUGUUUGGAGAAAUUGCUUCAGCCUAGGAAGAAUUCCGUGUCUGCACAAACCCCAUGAAUGAUCAUGACCUCCCUAGCAUUCAGACAUUUGCUGUGUAAUGUUGUGGUGUCAUUAAAGACUGUCUACAUAAGAUACACUUUACUUGAGCUGAUGAGCAUCACAUGUAUCUUCUAAGAAGGCUGAGCAAGUGAAACAUCUUGCCUCAAGAUGUCACAAGUGAUACAGGCACCUGGCCUCUGGUUCUAGUUUGCCUGAGCAGAAACACUUGAGAAAGACCAGAGCUCUUUUGCUUUUCUAACUUCUUGUCCUAGGCUGUCAGCAAGUCUCCUAACACAGCUAGACCUUGAUUAGAUGGAGACAAGGAACAGAACAUUUGCAAAACAGAUCCUGAUUUUAUCCUACAUAAAUUCUUCUGAAGCACAGUUCAGACCUAGGAACACCAGGCAGUCCAAUCAUACAGAGCUGGAAUUUUCAUGAUACAGUGGUCUACAGUACUUUGAUUCCUUGGCCAUAAUUCUAAAGAAAUUAUCAGUAGCAAUAUAGCACCAAAAUUAUAGUAAGGUUGAAUCACUUUUGAAUACUUGAGCUUCAUCAGAGAAAUCAAGCUCCUCACUGUCAAAUCAGGCUCAGAAUCACCCCUCAAACUUUAAUGGGUGUCUGGCCUUCAGUAUUGAUUAAAACAUUCUCUACUCUGCUGGUAGUCAGAGAUCAUUUUUUAUAAGCUUCCAGCAUCCUGUAGGACUAGUUCCAUAUAAAAUACUCCUGUGCUUAGUCAGAACCAGAAGACUGAAAUGUUCUGUACAGUUGUGUUUAGCUGGACAUCCUACACCAGUAGAAGUAGGUGUGGCUCACACUAGAGCAGCUUAGAGAUGGGAACUUCCUGUAUUUUUUAGCAUCUCACAGAUUCAGGAGUGUUAAGGUUGGAAAAGACCUCCAAGAUCUCUAGUCCAACCAUUAACCCAGCACCACCAUGCUUGCCACUAAAUCAUAUCCCCAGGGGCCACACCCACAUGCCUUUUGAGCUUUCCAAGGGAUGGUGAUUUCACCACCUCCCUGGGCAACCUGUUCAAUGCUUAACUGCUCUUCCAGUGAAGAAAGUUUUCCUGCUAUCCAAUCUAAACCUACACUAGCACAACUUGAGGCCAUUUCCUCUUGUCUUGUCACUUGUUAUCUGGGAAAAAGACUGACACCUUGCUACAACAUCCUUUUAGGUAACUGCAGAGAACUUGUUUGUUCUUCCAGGUAACAAGCAACAGGAUGAGAGGAAAUGGCCUCAAACUCUACCAGGGGAGAUUUAGAUUGGACAUUAGGUGGAAUUUCUUCUCAGAAAGGGAGGUUAGAUAUUGGAAUGGGCUGCUCAGGGCAGUGGUGCAGUCACCAUCCCUGAAGGUGUUAAAGAAAAGAUUGGAUGUGGCACUUGGUGCCAUGGUCCAGUUUCAAGGUGCUGUUCAGUUGGUCAUAGGUUGUAUUUGAUCUCAAAGGUCUUUCCCAAGCUAAGUGAUUCUGUGAAAACUGCCUCCAAUGCCAGCAAAUACUGACACAUAGAGCAAAAAGGUGCUGAAGUUUUAUCUCUGCUGCAGAAAUAAUUAUCUCUUGAAAAUGAGGGUCUCUAGACUAUUAUUAGUUAAUAUUGCAAAUGCUAAAUUGAAAUGGUAAGCAUUGCCACAGACAUCUAGAGAGGAAUUUAGAUAUAGUGCAUUAGAAAGCCUUUAUGGCAGUAGUGACAUUUCCAGGCACAGACAUCUUGAUAAGAAGUAUUUCUUUAUGGGUUUUCUGAAGCACAAUGACCUAUUCAAUGCUUUGCAUUCUCUUUGUAUAGACAGGGUUGUACACACACUUCUUAGAUCCCCAAGACAAGUUGCCAACUACAGGCAUCACAAGACCAUAGGCUUUCCAACCCUGCAGGCCUACAUGCCCUCCGGCAAAGCAGCACAGGACUUAAAGAGAAAAAACAAAAAAAAGACAACUUCUUUGUGUGUUGCAGUUCACCUGCUUCUUUCAUCCACAUGGCAGUAUCUGACUGUUUGCACCAGAACAUUUGGAAUGUUUUUGAAGUUGUACCUCUUCCUUUCAAGCACUGAAAUGGUUUUAUAAUAUGUUAAAGCCUACCACCUGUCACAGAGAUUUGUGUAUUCUUGUUGUAGUGUGGAGAGGGCCCACCAUAUUCUAUUUUAGUCAUUCAUUGACUCCUUUUGGUCACAAGGUGUUUUAUGAGAUUAUUGGUAGCACUACUUCUUUUCCUAUGGAAAAGAGAUUCCCUUUUUAACUCUUAAAAAGGGAUGGGGAAAGGUGGUUGUGAGCCAAUUCCAGUACAGUAUUCAAUUUGGGCUGUCCCAGAUCUCAAGAAAUGUAAAUAUGUACAGCUGAAAGAUCAGAUACAGAGAAAUGUUUUCAGCCAGCAGUUUAUCACUACCAAGUUAGAAAGCCCCGAGAGCUCUGAGCUUUCAAAACAGUUAUUUCCACACUGUUACCCACCCUGCCUGAAGGAACCGUGUCGUCUUCCUAGCAGGCGUCAUUGCCUCCAGUGUAAGACCUGUGUGCUUGUCACUGCCUGUUUCAGAAGAACAAAAACCCACAUAUGCAUGCAUGUCCUGAACACUGCGUAAGUGAUCUAAGAACUCUCAUUACAUGCUUCACUCAUGGCUUUUCUUGGUCCUGAGGGUAGGCAAGAAGUCAGCAUAGAUCCCUGCACAGAACAGAGAUGAUCCAAACCAUAGAAGUCUGAUGUUCCAUUAGCCUUCUGUGACUUCGCAUUACAUUCAGCUUUUCUAUUCAAUCUCAGAGCCUACCUCAGAAGCUCAUUGAGAGCAUGGAUCAUGGGUCAGGGGGUGGUGAGGCACUGGCACAGGUUGCCCAGAGAAGCUGUGGAAACCCCAUCCCUGGAAUUGGUCAAGAGCAGGUUGAACGGGGCUUGAAGCAACCUGGUGUAGUGAAAGGUGUCCCUGCCCAGUGCAGAGGGGUUGGAACCAGAUAAUCUUUAAGGUUCCUUCCAACCCAAACUCUUCUGUGAUUCCAGGGGUCAGACUUUCAAUAGCUUAGCACAAGACACUCUUAUAGCACAGCUUAUGAGGGCAAACUAUAGCCAAAAGAGGAGUUGUUCAAGUGUUCCUGUGCCUGCCUGGGCGUUUUCCAGCAUGGAGUCUCCAAAAAAGAAUCUUGCAAAAAGAUGAUAGUUUUCUCAUCAUUUUUCCAACAUGUAUUUGUGGAGAUUUGGAGGCUGUAUAUGGACAGUGAAGUCUAGAUUGCACUAUCACACUAAAAUUGUCAGAUCUUAUGAAAUAGGAACAGAAAGCAGUUUUAGCCUAACCAAUGAUGGAAGAAGCUUCUGUUACAUCAGGGACCAUAGAGAUACAAUGUUUCCCUUAAAUUCUUGACAUGGCCAUAUUUAAGCUAUUAAUGUGUUCUGGAAAUCUAUGGUUUACUGAGCCAUUUUCAGAAGAUAAUGUUUUGAACAACUGUAGGUAGCAAAUGAAUAUCAUAUGGCUUAAGGAUAGAUUUGCAAAUGGAGAAAAGGUAAACCAGUCUUUUACAGGAAAUACCUUUCCAGUUUAUGGAAAACUAGGAACUUACUGACAGGGUUAAUGCUCACCAUAGUGCAACUGGCAUUGAAACAAAGGCCACCAAUAGGACAUAUCCAGGAAGUAUUCAGUAGGCUUAUCACCCCCUGCACUACCAAAACAGUGAUGUUAUUCUGAUCUUCAAAGUUUAUCUAUUUGAUCUCCAAAAGCUUAGCAUUUGUUUCUAGGUGUGAGGUAUCAACAUGACUAAUCCAUCUGAUGUCUGGAUCCUGCAAUGUUUCACUUCACAGCACAUAUGCAGAAAUUACCUCCUAAAGAGAAAUUUUCUUCUUCAGGUUUGUAUAGAAGGUAUUACCCACCUAUCUGGUCGCCCCUGUGAGAUCUGCUUUUCCUUGUCCUGUGGCAUUGACAUUUCUGACAGCUCUGUCCUCUCCUCAAUACAGUAAGAUGUGUCUCUUUGGUUCCACAAAGGCCAUGACUCUUUCGAGCCUAAUUUUAUUCCUUUACUUCCUCUCUGUAAUGGGAAGGAAGUGAGUUUGCCUCCUUCUGUGGAUCUCUGCCUGCCCUUACCACGUAGCCCCUUCCUCUGUCCUACCAGGACCCAACUGAGGAGCAAGCUGAAGACAUAGUAAAACCACAAAGAUUAAAGGAUGGAAGGAUCAGCAUGCAUUCUGUUUAUUGUUAAAUACAACAUUGUAAAUAAACCGGUAUGUCAGCAAUUCUUUUAUUACUCAGUUUAGAUAUCACUGGGGAACAAAAACAAAAACCAUAAACCAGCCUUUUCAGAAGGCCCUCAAUGAAAGCUACAAACUGCCUUUGAAAUUCAAAGAAAACUCAGUUCCUGACUCCAAAGUACCAGUAAAACCCCAGACUUGAUGUUUCCAAUCUAUUGCCUUUUUUUUUUCCAAUGGAGAAUCAGGAUGGAACAAUGUUGCAAUGUUUAAUUCUUCACAGUUUCAGCAAGCACUCAGCUGACUGCUGUAACAGUAACUUGCUUAGAAAGCAAAGCCCUAAAUUAAUUUUCUACAGCAGACUUGUACACAUUACAGUUUCCAACCUUUAGGGCCACAUUCAUCAUCCUUCUGACCAGAAAAAAGACACCAAUUACUGAACCAUUCCAUUAGAUUGAAAACAGAGUAGAAAUGGAGUAAAGAUCCUUGGAAAAAAUUUACACAUCAGAUCACACUUUAGGAAGUUAUUUCAGCAGAAACUACAUGAUGGUCUAAAAAACUGACCUUUUUUAAUAGAAGUCAGAUUUAUUUGUAUUUUAUAUGAUGACUAGUAAUUUACUUCUCACCCACCCAUUUGAGAAUAUUCAGGACUCCAGGCAUAUCUUCAGCCAGAACCAGACUAUUCAAAUCAUUGUUGGUCCAUCCAUGUACUAGUUACAACAAGGCCUUCUGUGACUAAUUAUGGUCUGCAGCAGGAGAGGCAGCUUCAAAGAAUGAGAAUCUUCAGACACACUAGCAGUUCCUUUGGUUCCCAAAUUCAUUAUUUAUGUGGAUUACAUUGAGCUGACAGAUUUAACUGGGCUGCUGAAGAUAUGGUCAAAGAAGCAGAGUCACUCCCUUCCCUUUUAUUGUCUUCUGAAGACAUAACAGUCAUAUGCAUCUGUCACUAGAGAGAGGAAGUUCUCCAUCAUUGGACUUCAUUUGGGGUUUUAUAGGCUGUUUCAGUAGCAUUUGGGAAUAGAUCAAUAUAAUAUGUGGUAGGGAGUUGUAUUUCUUCAUGAUGCACUGUAAAUCUUUUAUUGAAGAUACUCCCACCAUUUAUUGUCGAAAAUCAAUAAAAAUAAACCUUGUAAAGUUAAA